UUCUGCACGCGUGGACUCUCCACGCUGAGGACAUGGCAGAACUCAUGAUCAUCGGCGGGAAGGACAUCCAGGGGUCCUUGCAGUCCAUAGGAGAACAGUGAGGUCAUUUGGACGACUCUCCUGCACUGAGCUGAAGAACUCCAGUACAUCAGCACAGGUCCAAGUGCACUGGCUUUCCACUUCUGUCAAAGUCUCUGUAGAAGAGCUACAAAAUAAAAUACAGAAUAUUGUG